GGGGAUUUAGCUCAGUGGCAUAAGCUCCUGCCUUGCAAGUACGUGGUCGUGAGUUCAAUCCCCA
rfam:Cavia porcellus supercont2_4 genomic scaffold, whole genome shotgun sequence.